UGCAGUCGAACGGGCCAGGGGGCAACUUCUGGUCAGUGGCGAACGGGUGAGUAAUGCAUCGGAACGUGCCCCGUAGUGGGGGAUAACGCCGCGAAAGCGGCGCUAAUACCGCAUAUGCUCUACGGAGGAAAGUGGGGGACCCGCAAGGGCCUCACGCUAUGGGAGCGGCCGAUGUCCGAUUAGCUUGUUGGUGGGGUAAUGGCCCACCAAGGCGACGAUCGGUAGCUGGUCUGAGAGGAUGAUCAGCCACACUGGGACUGAGACACGGCCCAGACUCCUACGGGAGGCAGCAGUGGGGAAUUUUGGACAAUGGGGGCAACCCUGAUCCAGCCAUGCCGCGUGCGGGAAGAAGGCCUUCGGGUUGUAAACCGCUUUUAGCCGGAAAGAAAAGGCUCGUCCUAAUACGGCGGGUUCUUGACGGUACCGGCGGAAUAAGCACCGGCUAACUACGUGCCAGCAGCCGCGGUAAUACGUAGGGUGCGAGCGUUAAUCGGAAUUACUGGGCGUAAAGCGUGCGCAGGCGGUUCGUUGUGUCUGAUGUGAAAGCCCCGGGCUCAACCCGGGAAUGGCAUUGGAAACUGGCGGACUUGAGUGUGGCAGAGGGGGGUGGAAUUCCGCGUGUAGCAGUGAAAUGCGUAGAGAUGCGGAGGAACACCGAUGGCGAAGGCAGCCCCCUGGGCCAACACUGACGCUCAGGCACGAAAGCAUGGGGAGCAAACAGGAUUAGAUACCCUGGUAGUCCACGCCCUAAACGAUGUCGACUGGGGUGUCGGGGGAGAGAUCUCUUGGUACCGUAGCUAACGCGUGAAGUCGACCGCCUGGGGAGUACGG
rnacentral:rRNA from 1 species